rnacentral:sRNA from 1 species
CCAAACCCAACUCGUGCAAUCUCUCUCUCAGGCAAAACCAUAAGCCGCCGAGCAGCUGGACCAGGAUCAGAAUCCGGGCGAAGGAAGAAUCUACCAAAACCGAUGAAACUCCGAGCUCACCGCCGAGUAGCCGGAGCAGGAUCAGAAUCCCGGCGGGGGAAGAAACCAGCCAUACCGAUGAAACUCCGAGAUAUGAAGAAAACGGCUGUUAAAGACUCUCCGACUAACUAAAAAAAGAAAAUUUUGUUCAAGAGGGUAUGGCUGAGCUCCAACUUAACGAGAAGAAUACUACUACUCCAAAACCAGAAGAGAGGAAAACGCGCAGCGCAGUCGUAUUUACUAGACCUUUCAAAUUCACAAUCCCUUGUAAAGUUUGCGGUGUGGUUGGCCACUUGAAUGAUGAUUGCCCCUACAUGAAACGUGUUCCAAACAAUGUAACUGAGGUUGGCAAGGGCUAUGAAAUAGUUACCUUCCGUGGUGAGAAGCAUGCUGUUAGGAUGUUAUGUGGUUAUUGUCAUAUCAGCGCUGACCACCAGAGCGAUGACUGCCCGCAUAAGAGCAAAAUCAUUGCAUGGAAGAACUCCCUUCGGAAGCCCCCUCCUGUAGGUCCUCUCACCUCCUGAUCUUGCUGAUGCUCAGGAUUGCGGCGGCACUGCCGAUUUGGAUGGUUAUAUCUACUCUUGUCUUGGAAUGCUGCUGUCCUGUUCGUUUUCUUUGGAUUUUAGCACUCUGUGGUCAGUCUGUCUGUACGUAUGUCAUGUAUGUCUUUGAAGAAGCACGUUCCGUCCCGUCAUUCUAACGUUAGUUGUAUUCUCUAUAUACUUGGAUUUAUUCUACUCAUUCUAAUGGUUAGUUGUAUUCUCCAU